AAUUGCUAGUAAUCGUGGAUCAGCAUGCCACGGUGAAUACGUUCCCGGGUCUUGUACACACCGCCCGUCACACCAUGGGAGUCGGUAACACCCGAAGUCAGUAGUCUAACCGCAAGGAGGACGCUGCCGAAGGUGGGAUUGACGACUGGGGUGAAGUCGUAACAAGGUAUC
rnacentral:rRNA from 1 species